UCUUACCAUUCCGAACAGAGAAGUUAAGCCCGUUUGCGCCGAUGGUACUGCAAUCCUGUGGGAGAGUAGGUCGCCGCCUUCC
rnacentral:rRNA from 1 species